CUUUGACGGGAAUUUACAACACUCCUAGUCUUGAUCCUCGGGUGCAAUACCUUUGCCCUUAUCCGAGGGCUCACCACCUAUACAUAAUGUGUAACAGGAAAUUUAAUAUACUUAUGCUAAAUCGUCACAAAACUAUUCUAUGUUCUAUAUGAAUGCAUGCAAUGAAAUGAGAGGUGUUCGGCCUAUCGCGCACUAUACAUUAUUUAAUCAGUCUAAACGUCCAAUUCGAUUCCAAUUAAUUUAUUGCACUUCCAGUACUCCCCAAAAUUUCACACACUUCACUAAAAAUCUAUUCUAAGUGUAAUUACCAAAAUAUCCCUCAUUAUUGUGCAAAUUACUAAGUAAUGGGAGUAAAAUUUUUCGAUACCCAUUUUUUAUUUUCAGUAUUCCUAAGCACCAAAUACAAUCUAAAGGGCAUGAAAAACAACCAAAUUCAUCAUCAAACCUCACCCAUAAAAUUCAGCCAAGAUAGGUUCUAUAAUGGGCAUGUGGAUUUCUUACUUAAUUUUCAUACUAAAUGUUACAAAACACCUAAAAACACUAAGUUACCUUGAAAUUCAACUAAAUUCAUCACCAACUUUCUCUCUCUAAAUCUGGCCAGCAUAUUGCCCCUCAUGAAAACUUGAAUUUAAUUCAUGGAAAAUGGAAAAGAAUGCAUGGGCAAGAUGAAUUUCAAGCUUAAUAUUAAAAAUCUUACCUUUAGUCACCAAUUUCUUGAAAAUUCAACAAUUUUUCCUUAGAUUUUCCUCCCUAGGGUUUUUCUUUCUUUUCUUUUCUUCUCUUCCUUGCUUGGCCAAAUGUUGGGAGUGAUAAUGGCUGAUUUAUGCUAUUUUUUUAGUUAAAUAAUAAAAUAUCUUAAGCUUGACACUUGUUAUUUUCUUAUUGGUCCAUUUUUAAAACUUUAAAUUUUAAACCUUUUAUUUCCAUCACAUGAUUAGUCAAAGGUCAAAAAUGAGGAUAAGGGAAGACCAUGUACUAGACAAAUGUCCUGGUGGUGGAAAAUUACUGUUUUGCCAUUGUGGUGGUAAAAUUACCAUUUUACCCCUAUGCUCUAAAAAAUACUGGGAUUAAAAUUUUUUUCACUUCUUAACCUCAAAUCAUACUCCAAUACUCAAAUCAUACUCUAAUAAGUCAAAUGGGGCCAAACAAUCUUUUCUAAAAAUUCUCAUUUUGUCCUCAGGUGGCAAAUGACUAUGUUGCCCCUAGAUAGUGAAAAUUUCGGUUUGACUCCAAAUUGAUCCUCAAAUUCUGAAUUACCAUUUUAAGUCAUCUUUGGACUGUGACGCUCUUAAUUUCACCUUAAAAUUCUUAUUUAAUCUAGUUCGAGGUUUAAAUCAACUUUGUUGUACCUCUAAGUACAAUACUUACUUUUGUAAAUUUUUCAGGACUCUCCUAACAUGCAAUCAUGCUAUCAUUACAUGUAUGUCAUGACAAGUAUUUUAUGAGGUCAGGCUUUACAAAACAGUUUUUGUGUUUUGGUUGGAGAGGAAAAGAAAUGAAUAGCUCAAGAUUUUCCAUCCAUUUUUAAAUAAACAAAAAGUUUUAAUUUUUUCAAAUUCGGUAUAAAAUUGAAAUAAAGAGAAAGUGGAAAAAAAAAAGAAAAAGAAGAAGGUGAAAAGAACUAUAGGGAAGAAAACGAUUUUUACGUUUUGAUUGCUUCCAUCCAUCUUUAAUUUGGUAAAAUCUCAUAAAAAAUUCUAGAAAAAUUCUUGCCAGUUGAUUUUGUUGAUAUAUCACAAAAUUUUGUGUCACUUCCUAAUGAUUUUGCAAAAAAAGUUCAAUAACUUUGCUGGAAAGAUUUUU
rnacentral:lncRNA from 1 species